CAUUCGGGCUUCCGGGGGGUCACGCUCUGAUCCCGGACAAGCCCCCAUAUGAAAGAGCGUACCCCUAAACGGAGAGCCGCGUUUCUCGCUCUGAUCCCGGGGUGAGGUGCCCCCAGGAAUCACGAGUAGGCGG
rnacentral:pre_miRNA from 14 species